rnacentral:ncRNA from 1 species
GGUCGCGACGAGUAGGAAGGACGUGGCGGUUGGCGUUGAAAGGCUAUGAAGCGUAGGCUCGGCUGGAGCCUUCCGUCAGUGCAGAUCGUAAAUGGUAGUAGCAAAUAUUUCAAGUUCGAUCCCUUGAAGACUGAAGUGGAGAAGGGUUCCACGUGAACAGUAGUUGGAUGUGGGUCAGUCGAUCCUAAGGUACUGGCGAAAGCCUUGUAUCAUCGGUGGCGAAAAGCUUGCUUUUUGUCCCCGCCCGUCGAAAGGGAAUAGGGUUAAUAUUCCCUAACUGAGAUGCAAAGAUUGUGUUCUUCGGAGCACAAGCGCGGUAACGCGUUCGAACUUGGUAAGUCGCUCAGAGACCGAGCUAGAGUUUUCUUCUCUAGUUAAGGAACGGACUCCCUGGAAUUGGUUCAGCCAGAGAUGGGGACGUUGUUUCCGAAAAGCACCGCGGUUUCUGUGGUGUCUCGUGCUCUCUGAACGGCCCUUUAAACACCAAGGGAGGCUAUUAAUUUGCACUCAAUCGUACCGAUAUCCGCAUUAGGUCUCCAAGGUGAACAGCCUCUAGUCGAUAGAAUAAUGUAGGUAAGGGAAGUCGGCAAACUAGAUCCGUAACUUCGGGAAAAGGAUUGGCUCCAGUGGUCGGAACGGUUGGCCAGUUGGUUGAUGCUUGUCCGGCGCUGUUCUGUCUGCUUGAUGCUUUCGGGCUGAUGGCGGCCUAGUGAUAGUGCUUGCUUGUUGACGCUUUCUGGUGUGAGCUUUGACCUCGGUCUUAGUAUCCUGAUCGUUCAUCUAAACGACUAAACUGGAACCGGUACGGACUCAGGGAAUCCGACUGUCUAAUUAAAACAGAGGUGACAGAUGGUCCUUGCGGACGCUGACUGUCACUGAUUUCUGCCCAGUGCUCUGAAUGUUAAAUCGUAGUAAUUCGAGUAAGCGCGGGUAAACGGCGGGAGUAACUAUGACUCUCUUAAGGUAGCCAAAUGCCUCGUCAUUUAAUUGUUGACGCGCAUGAAUGGAUUAACGAGAUUCCUACUGUCCCUAACUACUAUCUAGCGAAACCACAGCCAAGGGAACGGGCUUGGCAAAAAUAGCGGGGAAAGAAGACCCUGUUGAGCUUGACUCUAGUUUGACAUUG